AGCGAACGUUAGCGGCGGGCCUAACACAUGCAAGUCGAGCGAGAAAAGGGCUUCGGCCCUGAGUAAAGCGGCGGACGGGUGAGUAAUACGUAGGUAAUCUUCCUUCGAGCGGGGGACAACGUUCCGAAAGGGACGCUAAUACCGCAUAAGUUUUCUGGGACUCGGGUCCUGGAAAGGAAAGCUAGGUAGCAAUAUCCGGCACUCGAUGAGGAGCCUACGUCGCAUCAGCUAGUUGGUGGGGUAAUGGCCUACCAAGGCGAAGACGCGUAG
rnacentral:rRNA from 1 species